GGGGCGCCUUCGAUAGAGAAGGAGAGAGAGCGGAGCGGUGGAACGGAACGAACGCGAGAGACGAAGUGGAGGAGGAAUAAGGAAAAAACGAACGA
rnacentral:ribozyme from 1 species